rnacentral:rRNA from 1 species
UGGUGGAGCGAUUUGUCUGGUCAAUUCCGAUAGCGAACGAGACUCUAGCCUACUAAAUAGUUCGGGGACCCCCACAAAGGGGCCCCGCUUCAACUUCUUAGAGGGACAGGUGGCGUUUAGCCACAUGAGAUUGAGCAAUAACA